rnacentral:rRNA from 1 species
GACGAACGCUGGCGGCGUGCUUAACACAUGCAAGUCGAACGGAAAGGCCCUGCUUUUGUGGGGUGCUCGAGUGGCGAACGGGUGAGUAACACGUGAGUAACCUGCCCUUGACUUUGGGAUAACUUCAGGAAACUGGGGCUAAUACCGGAUAGGAGCUCCUGCUGCAUGGUGGGGGUUGGAAAGUUUCGGCGGUUGGGGAUGGACUCGCGGCUUAUCAGCUUGUUGGUGGGGUAGUGGCUUACCAAGGCUUUGACGGGUAGCCGGCCUGAGAGGGUGACCGGCGACAUGGGGACUGAGGUACGGCGCAGACUCGUACGGGAGGCAGCAGUGGGGAAUAUUGCACAAUGGGCGGAAGCCUGAUGCAGCAACGCCGCGUGCGGGAUGACGGCCUUCGGGGUGUAAACCGCUUUCGCCUGAGACGAAGCGUGAGUGACGGUAAUGGGUAAAGAAGCACCGGCUAACUACGUG